rnacentral:tRNA from 1 species
UGGGUUGUGGCUCAGUGGUAGAGUGCUCACCUAGCACAUGUGAGGCCCUGGGUUUGAUCCUUAGCACCACAA